rnacentral:rRNA from 1 species
AGGCAGCAGUGGGGAAUAUUGCGCAAUGGGGGCAACCCUGACGCAGCAAUACCGCGUGAGUGAAGAAGGUUUUCGGAUCGUAAAGCUCUGUCCUAUGGGCAGAAGAAAGUGACGGUACCAUAGGAGGAAGCCCCGGCUAACUACGUGCCAGCAGCCGCGGCAAUACGUAGGGGGCAAGCGUUAUCCGGAAUCACUGGGCGUAAAGGGCACGCAGGCGGUUUUUUAAGUCAGAUGUGAAAGGUACCGGCUCAACCGGUGACAUGCAUUUGAAACUGAAAGACUUGAGUAUUGGAGAGGCAAGUGGAAUUCCUAGUGUAGCGGUGAAAUGCGUAGAUAUUAGGAGGAACACCGGUGGCGAAGGCGGCUUGCUGGACAAAUACUGACGCUGAGGUGCGAAAGCGUGGGGAGCAAACAGGAUUAGAUACCC